GCGCCGGUAUCCAAAUGGUGAAGGAAGCGGUCUGUAAAACCGUGACGUAAGAAACACUGUUGGUUCAAAUCCAACCCGACGCA
rnacentral:tRNA from 1 species